GAUGAACGCUAGCGGGAGGCUUAACACAUGCAAGUCGAGGGGUAGGGUAGCAAUACCUGAGACCGGCGCACGGGUGCGUAACGCGUAUGCAACCUGCCUUAUACAGGGGGAUAGCCCAUGGAAACGUGGAUUAACACCCCAUAGGAUUACGGGAUCGCAUGAUUUUGUGAUUAAAACUGAGGUGGUAUAAGAUGGGCAUGCGUCUGAUUAGGUAGUUGGUGAGGUAAUGGCUCACCAAGCCGACGAUCAGUAGGGGUUCUGAGAGGAUUACCCCCCACACUGGUACUGAGACACGGACCAGACUCCUACGGGAGGCAGCAGUGAGGAAUAUUGGUCAAUGGCCGGAAGGCUGAACCAGCCAUCCCGCGUGCAGGAUGACGGCCCUAUGGGUUGUAAACUGCUUUUGUACCUGAAGAAUUGUCCCAACGAGUUGGGAUUUGCCGGUAAGGUAUGAAUAAGCAUCGGCUAACUCCGUGCCAGCCGCCGCUGUAA
rnacentral:rRNA from 1 species